UUAUUAUUAUUAUUAUUAUUAUCAAUGAAGAGAGGGUUAGCUCUGCAGUAGAUCAGAGAAGCUCUCUGAGAGCAAAACCUCAUCCUAUUCUCCUUUCCAGGAAAAUAUUUUCCCCUAAACAAACAGAACCCAACAACAACAGCAACUAAGCCUCAAUCCCAAAAUACUUUGGAUCAGCCACAUACAAACAGAAUCCAAACAGAGAAAUUAAUCCUAGAUGUGGAGGAGGCUCAGAUUUGCCUUGUUUUGGACAAGAAAGAAACACUAUUGCAUCAUGGCUGCAACUAAUGACCAGCUAGGAAUUGAGGAAAACUCCAAUUCACUAGCCCCCAAAUGUCGCCCAGCCAAGAUAACAAACAUUUCUCUACAAGUCUGAUUCUGGGUCAAUGAGAACAUCAUCACAGCCUCGCAGCAGUGAUAUAUAUAUAUAUAUAUAGAGA
rnacentral:misc_RNA from 1 species